rnacentral:sRNA from 1 species
CAAAUCCAUGAAGUGCAAGGAAAAACGAAAGCUGUAAAGAAACCAUACAAGAACCUAGAAUACUGAUACUUACAGCACCAGUUGUUCCAUAUAUUAAAGCUGUCUGGAAUAUGAUCUCCACUGCAUCUGGCAUCUCGGUGUUAUCUGGAAACAAACAAGGGUUAUAGCAAAAAACAAAAACAAAACUAUACUAGGACAUGAAGAUACCAAUGUUCUAACCAUUGUUGUCCCGCAACCUAUGUGAUAUCUUCUCUGCACGGUCAUAUGCCUUGAUAAAGCCACUUUCAGCCCAGGAACAGACAGAAACGAGCCUGGUGAAAUCCAAUCCUUGUACUACAUUUCGAGAUGGACGAUGGUCAUUCUUAGGCAGGAAAUUGACAUGAGCUUGGGUCAAAAAAAAUCCAUCAUGUGUAGCAUCCGUGGAUAAACUACAUGCAUUAAGGGCCUCGUUCCAAAUAGCUAAUAUUAUAAGUUCAACAGAUAGUGCCUCCAAGUCCAGCCCUUUAAAAAGCUGCAUCCACACAGAAA